rnacentral:rRNA from 1 species
GACGAACGCUGGCGGCGUGCCUAAUACAUGCAAGUCGAACGCUUCUUUCCUCCCGAGUGCUUGCACUCAAUUGGAAAGAGGAGUGGCGGACGGGUGAGUAACACGUGGGUAACCUACCCAUCAGAGGGGGAUAACACUUGGAAACAGGUGCUAAUACCGCAUAACAGUUUAUGCCGCAUGGCAUAAGAGUGAAAGGCGCUUUCGGGUGUCGCUGAUGGAUGGACCCGCGGUGCAUUAGCUAGUUGGUGAGGUAACGGCUCACCAAGGCCACGAUGCAUAGCCGACCGGAGGGGGUGAUCGGCCCCCCUGGGAAGGGGACAGGGCCCAGCACCCGACGGGGGGCAGGAGGAGGGAAUCUGCGGAAAUGGAAGAAAGGCUGACCGAGAAACGCCGGGGGAGUGAAGAAGGGUUUCGGAUCGUAAAACCUUGUUGUUAGAGAAAAACAAGGACGUUAGUAACUGAACGCCCCCUGAAGGUAUUAAACCAGAAAGCCACGGCUAACUACGG